ensembl:snRNA predicted gene, 22612
GUGUUCACUUCGGCAGUUCGUGUACCAAAAUUGGAACACAGAAAUUAGUACGACCCCUGUUCAAGAACGGCAAGCACAUUUGUGAGGCAUUUGGUAUUUUA